GACGAACGCUGGCGGCGCACCUAAGACAUGCAAGUCGAACGGUCGUCUUUCCUUCGCAAGAAGGGAAGGGGAUAGUGGCGGACGGGUGAGUAACACAUAAGGGACCUGCCCUAGAGUGGGGGAUAGCCUGGGGAAACCGAGGGUAAGCCCGCAUACGCUCCCUGGCAUAGCGGCGGGGGAGGAAAUACGUCCGCAAGGACGGAGCUCUAGGAGGGGCUUGUGGCGGAUUAGCUAGUUGGGGGGGUAGAGGCCCACCAAGGCGACGAUCCGUAGCUGG
rnacentral:rRNA from 1 species